rnacentral:piRNA from 1 species
UAAACCAAGGUCAUCUUGGCUAUUGGGAGCCU